AUGAAAACAUUAUGCUGGAACUGUCGUGUGAUUGGCGAUCCCGCGACGGUUCGAGAACUCCGCGAUCUCGUGGAGAUGAGUUCGCCGACGAUCCUCUGCUUGGUGGAAACUCAGCUGCAAAAGGAUCGUGUAGAGGGUCUUCGUUUUUCUCUUGGUUAUGAUUUUAGUUUUGGCAUUGGUAGUAGUGGGCGCAGUGGCGGUCUUUGUAUCUUU
rnacentral:rRNA from 1 species